AACGAAUGCUGGCGGCAUGCCUAACACAUGCAAGUCGAACGAGACCUUCGGGUCUAGUGGCGCACGGGUGCGUAACGCGUGGGAACCUGCCCUUAGGUUCGGAAUAACUCCCCGAAAGGGGUGCCAAUACCGGAUAAUGUCUUCGGACCAAAGAUUUAUCGCCUUUGGAUGGGCCCGCGUUGGAUUAGCUAGUUGGUAGGGUAAAAGCCUACCAAGGCGACGAUCCAUAGCUGGUCUGAGAGGAUGAUCAGCCACACUGGGACUGAGACACGGCCCAGACUCCUACGGGAGGCAGCAGUGGGGAAUAUUGGACAAUGGGCGAAAGCCUGAUCCAGCAAUGCCGCGUGAGUGAUGAAGGCCUUAGGGUUGUAAAGCUCUUUUACCCGGGAUGAUAAUGACAGUACCGGGAGAAUAAGCUCCGGCUAACUCCGUG
rnacentral:rRNA from 1 species